GAUGAACGCUGGCGGCGUGCCUAAUACAUGCAAGUCGAGCGAACGGACGAGAAGCUUGCUUCUCUGAUGUUAGCGGCGGACGGGUGAGUAACACGUGGAUAACCUACCUAUAAGACUGGGAUAACUUCGGGAAACCGUAGCUAAUACCGGAUAAUAUUUUGAACCGCAUGGUUCAAAAGUGAAAGACGGUCUUGCUGUCACUUAUAGAUGGAUCCGCGCUGCAUUAGCUAGUUGGUAAGGUAACGGCUUACCAAGGCAACGAUGCAUAGCCGACCUGAGAGGGUGAUCGGCCACACUGGAACUGAGACACGGUCCAGACUCCUACGGGAGGCAGCAGUAGGGAAUCUUCCGCAAUGGGCGAAAGCCUGACUGAGCAACGCCGCGUGAGUGAUGAAGGUCUUCGGAUCGUAAAACUCUGUUAUUAGGGAAGAACAUAUGUGUAAGUAACUGUGCACAUCUUGACGGUACCUAAUCAGAAAGCCACGGCUAACUACGUG
rnacentral:rRNA from 1 species